CCUACGGGCGGCAGCAGUGGGGAAUAUUGCACAAUGGGGGAAACCCUGAUGCAGCGACGCCGCGUGAGGGAAGAAGGAUUUCGGGAUGUAAAGCUCUAUCAGCAGGGAAGAAAAUGACGGUACCUGAGCAAGAAGCUGCGGCUAAAUACGGGCCAUCAGCCGCGGUAAUACGUAGGGAGCAAGCUUUAUCCGGGUUUACUGGGCGUAAAGGGAGCGUAGGGGGGCUGCCAAGGCUGAGGGGAAAUCCCGGGGCUCAACCCCGGGGCUGCAUUGGAAACUGGCAGGCUGGAGGGCCGGGGUGGCAGGCGGAAUUCCUGGUGUAGCGGUGAAAUGCGUAGAUAUUAGGAGGAACCCCAGUGGCGAAGGCGGCCUGCUGGACGGUGCCUGACGCUGAGGCUCGAAAGCGUGGGGAGCAAACAGGAUUAGAUACCCUGGUAGUC
rnacentral:rRNA from 1 species